rnacentral:rRNA from 1 species
GAUGAACGCUAGCGGCAGGCUUAAUACAUGCAAGUCGAGGGGCAGCACGGUUAGCAAUAACUGGUGGCGACCGGCGCACGGGUGCGUAACACGUAUACAAUCUACCUUAAACAGGGGGAUAGCCUUUCGAAAGAGAGAUUAAUACCCCGUAAUAAAUUGAACGGCAUCGUUUGAUUUUGAAAGCUCCGGCGGUUUGAGAUGAGUAUGCGUCUGAUUAGCUAGUUGGUGAGGUAACGGCUCACCAAGGCGACGAUCAGUAGGGGAUCUGAGAGGACUAACCCCCACACUGGUACUGAGACACGGACCAGACUCCUACGGGAGGCAGCAGUAAGGAAUAUUGGUCAAUGGAGGCAACUCUGAACCAGCCAUGCCGCGUGCAGGAUGACGGUCUUCGGGUUGUAAACUGCUUUUGUACGGAACGAAAAGGCUCUGGUUAAUACCUGGGGCACAUGACGGUACCGUAAGAAUAAGCACCGGGCUAACUACGUGCCAGCAGCCGCGGU